rnacentral:rRNA from 1 species
GACGGAGGGUGCAAGCGUUGUUCGGAAUUACUGGGCGUAAAGGGCGCGUAGGCGGUCUGUUAAGUUCGGUGUGAAAGCCCCCGGCUCACCCGGGGAACUGCGCCGGAAACCGACAGACUCGAGUACCGGAGAGGAGGGUGGAAUUCCUGGUGUAGCGGUGAAAUGCGCAGAUAUCAGGAAGAACACCCGUGGCUAAGGCGGCUCUCUAGUACGGUACUGACGCUGAGACGCGAAAGCGUGGGGAGCGAACAGG